rnacentral:lncRNA from 1 species
CCUGGAUCAACAGAUGGCGUUUCCAGCGCAAAAAAUGUCAGGUCCCAAAGAAACCUUGGACAAGUCUCACCCAGUACUCACCCACACUUCUCACCCCGCUCCCCACCCUAAACCUCUCCUCUCCAGGGGCUGGACUUCCCUUCCCCCAGCUUCUGAUUCUUGUAUAACUCAGCCAUUUUGGCCGCCCACUCUCUUGGGCCUCUCCUGGCUUCGUCAUCUGCUCCUCCCUUGGUCCACGUGCGCCCUCUCUAUUCUCUCUCCUCUCGUGGCCUGGCUCAUUCUGAAUUUCCAGAUACCUCUUGUCUGUGCUCUCUCCCUCAUACCUAUAAUAAAACCGCUCUCCCCAGCCAUACCUAGAAGCAGUGAUGUUCUCAUUUUCAUUCAGAAGGCAUGAGCAUAACGCAAAGGGAAAAAGUGGGCAACAGCCUUGCCCCCCUCCUCCCGUGACAAAACGGGCCGUGGGCCCUCUUUUAGUUCCCGGAAGCUAUCCCAUCAUGUGUUAGAUUUCCUUUUCUGAGGCUCUGAGAGGUUAAAGCAACGUAUGUAAGGACGCGCAGCCUAGUCCUUGUUCCAACAGGCUGGAGACAACAGGGGAGGCAAGCGGCUUAGAACUGUUCUCCAAACAAGUGCCCCAGCGCGUGCGCGCCCACGUAAGGCUGCCCAGUUCUUGCAGGUCUGGAUGGAAGCUGUUUCCCCCACUUCCUUUAUCUGGGUGAGGAGCCACCAGUGACUUGGUCAAACUUUUCACUAUGUACAAGUUGCAGUCACCCUUCAGUCUCGGUUUGUAUGCUCAGAAGGGGCAAAGGAGGAGUCAACACCUGUUACCUCGUGUUAAUCCUCAGGAUGAACAUCCUAAGAAUGUUUGUAACUCCCUCAACACAACCCGGCAGUGGAGGGGCGCUACUUUCACCCCACAUUAUACAUGAAGACACUGAGGGUCAAGAAGAGCCCUGUGCCCAGGCGGUAGUUGGAGGCUGGGAGAGACUGACCCAAGGUCAACCCAAGGUCAACCCAAGACUGACCUCCCUUCAGAGCUCAGCCUCUCAUCCCCAAGCUGGAUGACCUCUAGCUGGAGAUGCAUGGAGAGCCCAGUCUCAUGUAUCACAAACUGAUGUUGAACUCACUAUGAAGCUGAGGAUGGCCUUGAACUCCUGAUCUUCCUGCUUUCACCUCUCAGUUGCAUGAAUUGACACCCACCAAGUCCAAUUUGGAUUUUUUAAAAAUUAAAUUACAUUAACUAUUAGUAUGGGGAGUGUCACACCUAUGCCAUGGCUGAGGACAACUUUUGAGAAGCUGGUCCUCUCCUUUCACCAUGGGUUCCAGGGACCAAACUCAGGAGACAACUGACCUUGAAGAAUUUUUUUUUUAAGUGCUGAAAAUCCAACCUAAGCUUUCAUGCACGAAAAGCAAGCCCCUACCACUGAGUUGCACCCACCACUCAAACUUGACUUCUUCAAGGCCACAUGGCAAGAAGUUGGCAGAGGUGGAACUGGAAUCUGCGGACCUAACUUUGAAAUUAUUUAAUAAGUACUGCAUACCUAACCUCCUGGGUCAGGAAGUGGAGAGGGAGGACUCCCUGCCACAGAGCGCAGGCCCAUUCAGACCCAGCCUGUACCCCUGCUCCUUUGCUUUGUGCUGGCCUUGGACAGGACCCACAUUUCAGAGCAGCCACUCUUUGUUUUACACAAGAGGCUCAGGGUUGUCAUUUCCUUGGUAGACAGGACCUUCAGUUGUGGGGAAAGCCAGCAGACUUUCCCCGAAGAGGACCAGACCUGUGCUGUCCCAUGGGAUUGUGGGAUUCUGAUUCUCUUCAAAAACCCUUCCUUCCACAAGUGGUCCCUGCUCCAUAAGGGUCUGUCACCAUUCCCCCGCCACACACACACACACACACACACACACAUACACACCAGGAUUACUUCCCUCUUUCUGCAUGCCAGGCUCCAUCUCUCACUCAUAAGCCCCUUUAUAGGGUAAGACUGCAGUUCUAUGCUAGCCACCCCCCACAGUUGCGAAG